rnacentral:rRNA from 1 species
GCACAAGCGGUGGAGCAUGUGGUUUAAUUCGAUGCAACGCGAAGAACCUUACCUGGUCUUGACAUCCACGGAAGUUUCAGAGAUGAGAAUGUGCCUUCGGGAACCGUGAGACAGGUGCUGCAUGGCUGUCGUCAGCUCGUGUUGUGAAAUGUUGGGUUAAGUCCCGCAACGAGCGCAACCCUUAUCCUUUGUUGCCAGCGGUCCGGCCGGGAACUCAAAGGAGACUGCCAGUGAUAAACUGGAGGAAGGUGGGAUGACGUCAAGUCAUCAUGGCCCUUACGACCAGGGCUACACACGUGCUACAAUGGCGCAUACAAAGAGAAGCGACCUCGCGAGAGCAAGCGGACCUCAUAAAGUGCGUCGUAGUCCGGAUUGGAGUCUGCAACUCGACUCCAUGAAGUCGGAAUCGCUAGUAAUCGUGGAUCAGAAUGCCACGGUGAAUACGUUCCCGGGCCUU